CCUACGGGAGGCAGCAGUGAGGAAUUUUCCGCAAUGGGCGAAAGCCUGACGGAGCAAUGCCGCGUGAAGGAUGAAGGCCUAUGGGUUGUAAACUUCUUUUCUCAGAGAAGAAAUUUUGACGGUAUCUGAGGAAUAAGCAUCGGCUAACUCUGUGCCAGCAGCCGCGGUAAGACAGAGGAUGCAAGCGUUAUCCGGAAUGAUUGGGCGUAAAGCGUCUGUAGGUGGCUUAAAAAGUCUCCUGUCAAAGAUCAGGGCUUAACCCCUGGGCCGGCAGGAGAGACUCUUAGGCUAGAGUUUGGUAGGGGCAGAGGGAAUUCCCGGUGGAGCGGUGAAAUGCGUAGAGAUCGGGAGGAACACCAAAGGCGAAAGCACUCUGCUGGGCCACAACUGACACUGAGAGACGAAAGCGAGGGGAGCAAAAGGGAUUAGAUACCCCUGUAGUCCUCGCCGUAAACGAUGGAUACUAGAUGUUGGAUAGGUUAAACGCAUUCAGUAUCGUAGCUAACGCGUGAAGUAUCCCGCCUGGGGAGUAUGCUGCAAGNGUAGAAACUCGAAAGGAUGACGNGUGAGAGNGNGAGACGACGACGAGGGAGAGG
rnacentral:rRNA from 1 species